GAUCUAAAGCACCUGGACAUGAAAGAUCCACCUAAAGCCAGAGCACCCAAACAAGAUUUAGUUCUAUGGGUGCUUUUUUAUUUUGUAUACCAUUUUUCAGUUUUUCUUAUAUAAUAAUACCUAUUAUAUGUCAAGUUUAGUGGGUGCCGGAGCACCCGAAAAUAACAUGUGGAUCCGCCCCUGAAUAUAACACCAAUUUGCAGAUGCACAAUGAGUGAGGGUGUAGCUUUGUCAAUUGCUUCUUCAAUUCCUCGGGUUAUGGCAGCUAAAAUUUGUAAUAAGCUCUAUUUUAUCUCUCUCACGAAUUCGAGGUAUAGUUUUUGUUUUAUAUUUAGUUGCUUGAUUGACUGGGUGUGACUAUGUUUUGGUCAAGUCUACUUAGAAUUUUCAAACCCAAUAAAAAGAACAAUCUAACAUGUAGACAAGUGCAGAUUCUUAGAAAUGACAAUACUCAUGUCUGACCAAUGACUUGACUAAAAUUAUCUUUGACAUGACCAGCCAUUGAUAUACCUGUCUAUUCACUGUAGUGCAGCCUCCAACUUAAUCCUUCACAAGUUCAACUGUUAAAGUCAUCAAUAACCCAGAACACGUAUAUUUUCACUAAAUACCCUGAAUGCGUCUUCGCUUGAACAUGAGUGUCAUCUUGAAGAGGCGGCCCUAAAAAAUUUAAACUUCACCUUUAUCGUGUAUUUGUUUGUAUGUUUGUCAUUCAUGCUUGUAGUUAUUACUAUUGGACUAGCACAUAUAUUUUUUUCUCUUUUGCGCCUUUCAUCAUUAAAGCCAACACUUUAUUUGUGUUUUUUUCUUUUCGCCUUUGGUAACAUUUAAACCAACAUUAACUAAUUUAACUAUUACUAAUACUACAAUUCAUCUUUUAAUCAAGAAUCCAUCUUCUUGAUGUUGUACUUAGUUGCUAUGAACUUAUAAGUUUUAAACAUUGCAGAUUAAGGAUAUUGCUUAAAGGUCUCUGGUGCAUACAUUAAUGCUAGUCAUUAACGCCAAUAGGUACUUAUAGGAAAGAUCAUAGACCAUAUCCUAAUUUUGAUACAAUAUCAGAGGGAUUUCCAUAUCCUUUUCCACCAGCAAGUUCUAGUUCUAUUCCAGCUUGGUAUUUUACAAGUGCUGGUAAUGUAAGAACUCCGCGUCCUGAUUCAAGAUUUGAUAGAAGAUUUAGUGGUGGUGGUGUAUAAUCUAUUUCUCAGUCUGGUGAUGUGGUGGUGGAAGAUGAUAGACAAAAGAAGUGGACUGCACAUGUUGAACCUAGUGUUUUGAUCACUUUUAUUUCUCUCCCUUAUGGCAGAAAUGAUCUUAAACGAAUCCGAUUUAGGUAUAAAUCGAUCUCUUUUCAUUUCUACCUCGAAAGUUUAUCAUAGUAUAAAAUAUUGGACUAAGAUGAGCUUAAGUGAAGUUACUUGUAACUUAUCCCAACUUAUUUCGGAUUGAGUCAUAGUCUAGAAUGAAACUAUGGGAAUUAUUGCUAUUCACAACUUCUUGCCUAUGUGUAAUGAAAGUUUCUUUACAUAAGCUUGUCCUAGGCCAAUAUUUAGUCCCUUUCAUUCAUUCAUGAAUACUUAUUUUACCUUUUCUUUAUUCCCUUCAUGUCUGCUAAAAUAUCUCACUUGCUUAGUACCGUACCUUCAAAUAUCUUACUGCAUGUUCCAUUCUUAUUAUUAAGUUGAUUGUUUUGAAUGCCAUCUGAAAUGAUGACCUAUUUAAUUAAAUGUAUUUGUGUUGCAUAGCUUUCUAACUGGUUCGAUAAUCUAUCAUAUUAUCCAUUUGCUAUCUGUAUUAUUCUUGUUGAAAAUAUCAGUGUUAUCUGUACCUUGUUGAAACACCCGUUGAUGGUCCAGACAAUAUAUAUCACCGGGUUCUUUUGAAGCUGGGACAUUUUCAACAAAUGGCAAGCUCAAAGAUGGUGGGGAGAGAAUUAUGACCGAAUUAUGGAGCUCUACAAUGUUUAGAGAUUCAACAAGCAAGUUCUAAACACACCUGGACAAUCUGAUGAUCAAAGAGAUACCAAUUAUUCGAAGCUUGGAUCUGCUAUGGAGAGCCCAACGAUAACUCUUGAAACAAACAAGGAGUGGACACCAAGCAAUUACCAUAAACCAUCUUGAUCAACUCGUUUCACAAAAGGUGACAUGUCAUAUAUGGACACAUCAAGGACAACCAGACUCUAGGAUAGAAGCUUUACUUUCCAUUACCAAUGCUAGUGAAAUGGAGUAAGAAUGGGUAGAACAAGAUGAGCCUAGUGUGUAUAUAACCAUCAGACAACUAGUUAAUGGCACCAAAAGAAGGAUUUAAAAACUUUACCAUGUCAUCUAGUCAAGGAAUGGGAACAAUACGUAAGAACUCCAUGGUUCUUGAGAACGAGUAUAUGCAAGUUCAUACUCCAUUUUCUCCAUCGACUAAUCAAGUUAAGCAAGGCACCAAAGAGGUUGAAACAAAUUUCUGUCGAUUGAAGUUACAAGUAAAGAUGCAAGUUUAGAGAAUGUACAAGCUCAUUAUUAUUUUGCUACGAACAUUAUGUAAACCUGACAUCAAAUUCUAGCUCCGA